AAUUUCAUAAUGAAAUUUACAAAAUGAGUAUUCAGAAUCAUUCGUCAGUUGUGUAUUUAUAAAUUAUUGAUGGAUUUAAUAGGCAAAAUGUAACAAAAGCUGAUGAAGGUAUUUCCUGUUUCCUGUAUUUUCAGGUAUUGACAUAAGAGUGCAAGCAAGUAUAAAGGCUGUUGUCACUGUCUAGUGGGGUCACUCCCUCCUAAACCUAGAUCAAGAGCAAGACCCAGAUGAUGGCAGCCUUACAAGUUUUUGAGGAGCUUGAUGUCCUCGAGGAUGCUGCAGGGGAAAGGGUCAGACUGCCGAGAAGGAUUGUGAAGGAUCGCUUGGAUUUAUUCCUGACUUUGACUGAAGAGGAAUUUACAUCCAGGUUCAGGAUAUCAAAGCAAAGCGCAAGGGCCUUACUUGCUGACUUACAUUUACCAGAGGCAGCUGAUGCAAGAGAAUGUCCUGUACCACCUCACCUUUAACUCCUCAUCACCUUAAGAUGGAUGGCCACUGGUGACCUGCACCAAACUAUUGGAGAUUGCCUGGAUGUCUCUCAGCAGUUUGUAAGUUCAUGCUCUUCACAUACUGUGCGUGCCAUUGCUGCUUUAUAUCAGCGGUAUGUAAAGUUUCCUGGAAGGCAUGAGUUAGGGUCCAUCAAGACAAACUUUGAAGCAAUCUCUGGAUUCCCAGGUGUCAUUGGUGCAAUAGACUGCACACACAUCCCCAUUCUCAGUCCAGGUGGUCAGCAAGCAGAAACUUACCGAAGCAGAAAGGGCUUCUUUUCAUUAAAUGUACAAGCAGUGUGUGGUCCAGACUUAACAUUUUAUAAUAUUAUUUGUCGAUGGCCAGGAUCAGUCCACGACAGCAGAAUAUUUGCUAAUAGUUCUCUGUAUGCUCAGUUGCAAGCUGGCGAUUACAAUGGCCAUUUG